AUUACACUCUCUGCUGCUUGGAUUACGAAGGCCUUGGAAGUGGAGGCCACAGGCCGUUCCCAAGCAGACUCCUCAUUUUUUUCUCCGUCACCUAGGCACUCAGCAUUGUUGUCGGAUUGUUUUCCUGGGCUCACCCGCCUGGACUUGCAGCUCAGAAGGCUCCCUGGAAAGGAUCCCCUGGCACCUCUGAGGCCCAGGCUUCGGCCCCUCCUUCCCUGCUCCUCCACGCCAGCACCCGACCCAGCCGGCAGCUGGCCACGGGCAGGUGACCCGAGGGUCCGCGACAUGGCUGUGGGAAGGGGAGCCCUGCCCUGAACAGAAAGUGCAGGGACAGACGAGGACCAGCAGGGAUGGGCUAUGCCAGGUCCCUGCCUUUCCCACAGCAGCCCACAAGGACAGCAGGGGAGUGGGGCCCCUGCCCAGAGACCUGGGUCCUUGCUGUCUUCAUCACUGCUCAGAAAUGCUGGUGACCAGAUGGCUCACUUUAGAGGAAAUACGCGGUCAGGCUUAUUAGAAAAGAAAGAGAAGGAGGAGGAAAGCGAGGAGGCUUGUGUCACACCCAGCACAGUGACAGCUCGGAAACCUCAGCACCGUGUGUUCCCCCUGCGUCUCCACCUCGGGUUCCGCUGUCCUCACCAAGCUUCCCCACCUCAGCCAGGAGCCACACUCAGCCCUCGACACUAUCCCUGUCCUGCGCUCUGUCGGUGUGUGCGCGAGACACCCUACUGACACGAGUUUGGGGCCAGCAGGGACGCGUGGGCCGUCUACUGAGGAAGCUGGUGGCCUCGGAGUCGGAGGCCGAGGGAGGACCUGGGAGGCGGCGCUGGAAGGAGGACACUGAGACGGAGAAUCCCCUGCAGUAACAGAAGCGGCGGUGGGGGCAGAGGCCUGGCUGUGAACCCGGCAGGGACCUCGACCUGAAGGAAGCUGCCAACCCACCCAGGUCCUGAGAGGCUUCUUGGGGAGGUGGAGGAGGACCAGGACAGGGGCAAGACAGGACGAGGGCUGAGACGGGGCUGAGACACGGAGGCAGAGAAAGGAUGGACGCCUCCUCCGCCCUCUGGUGGGACCUCUUCCUCACUCUCACUGUCAGCUGAAGCAUCCCAGGCAGAAAUCAGGAGAGGGGCACCGAGGAGACAGCUUUCUCCGUGUGGCCCACAAGCUGUGCCUGGGCAGCGGAGGCUCAGCACAAGCCAGCCUCAAAGUCUCUCUGUUUUGUUUUGCUGAGGUAGGGUCUCUCUAUGUAGCCCAGGCUGGCCUCAAACUCACAGUGAUCCUCCUACCUCAGCCUCCCGAGUUCUGGGAUUACAGAAGCAGCAGCCUGGGAUGGGUUGGAGACUGUAAAGCUGGCCUUUCACUAUGCAUGGCUGAGACUCCCUGGCACCAAGAACAGCCACCCUGUCCCCCAGCCAGGGACCGCAGGGGUGAGAUCGGCACAGCAGCAGCACACGGCGCACAGCCCUGGGGCAGCAGAGACGCCAACUGGGCAGGCAGGAGCCCGGGCCCCUCAGGGACACAGGGACACACCGUGCCCAGCACCAGUGGGGCAUGGAAACAGGAGUGGCUGGCAGCAGAGGGGAUGCAGGAGCCCCGGCAUCCCGCCAAGGCCACAGGGCUUCUGGGAGCUCGGUUCUGGACACCCCCUUGCUGACGCUGCCUCACCCUCCUGCUGCGUCCUGACACUGGUUGAGCAGACCCAGAAGCCCAAGCCCGAGCAGAACCCGGGAGAGGAAGCCUUUUACCCACUGAGGCUGCGGCCCCACAUGGUCUGGGGUUUGGGGAGUGAGGCCUCUGCCCCUGCCUGCUAUCCCCUCCUGAGCUGAGGAGCGAGAGAAACAGGGCUGAGAACACUCCUGGCUGUGGCCCAUUUACGACAGAGCCUGGGAUUCCAUUUAUACAAAGUGCAAAAACAGGCCACCGGCCAAGGAGAAGUCAGGAGACCGCGCCCCGGGGCCCAACAGCGAGGGAAGACCUGGGGCCUCCUGGGACUCGUGCAGGACCUCCCCAGGCCGAGCUGAUUUGGGGUGUGUUCUGGUGCACACGUGCAGGACAUAGACAACACUUGUGAGUCUGUGUGCUCCCCGGUGUCUGUCCACUUCCCUCACGAAUGUUGAACCUCCAUAAAAAGUUUUGGAAAACACUAUGGCUCUCACCUCGACAGCAAAACUAAAACCCUAGCAGAGACCUCGUGAGCCUCCGUUCUGUUUGGGUUCGAAGCACUCUGUCAUAGGGCCGAAAGGGAACAGUGGCCCUGGAGGAGAAGCCGGGCUUGGAUUUGGGUCACUGUUUUCCCAGGUGGGGGUGGGAAGGGGUGACUCACUCUCCUCACCCCCUCUGCGGCCCUCGUCCCCACCGUGUGGGGCUGGAUGAGGUCCAAGGGCCGGGAGAUUUGGGCUGUUGCCUUGGUGAUGUUUAAAUAUUGGCUUCCCGUCAUGAUGGUAAAAUAAAUAAGCAGGAGGCUUGUGGCGCUCAGCUGGCCACACCCGCAUUCCAGACCCCAGGUCCCCAGCUGGUGGCCCAAGGUGGCUGAGCUCUAGGGCAGCCUGGAACUUUCUCCUGGUGGGGAGAGGAACAAAGAAGGACCUGGAGUGCUCUAGGGAGGCAGAGUGUCAGGCUGGAUGCUACGUGUCCAAGUGUCCAGUCCCCAAGUGCCAAUGGAUCCUCCUCAAGUUCCGGCUCACAGUCGUCUGCCAGAACCAAAAUCCACAGCCUGCAGGAGGUGUUCUUCCGUGUGCAGGGAGGAAACCAGAAGAACUGGACUUCAGCUGUCAGCAGACUGGACUGCUCUCAGAAGGUGAAGGCAAAGUAAUGGAGUUGUUGGAACUGAGGGUGUCGCUCAGGGAUACGGCGCUUGCCUAGCACGUGCAAAGGCCCUGGGUUCCAUCCUAAAGAUAACGAAAAAAGAAAAUAGAGCUGCCUCUGGAGUCGGGAGCCCUGUAGCCCAACUGCAUCCCCUCUGGACACAGGAGAGGAGGAGCCAAGACUCCCAACAGAGCCCGAAUGACGAGGACCUGGUCCAGGAAGCAGAGCAGGACUUGGCCCACGGUGAAUUCUCACUUGCACUUCAGGCUCUCACGCCAAGAUGCUCUUUGACUCUGAGGUGUGAGGCAACUCCUUAGCUCCUCUGGGCCUCAGUUUCCCCAUCUGUAAACCAUUACUUUUAUAGAGAGAGGCGGGUGAGAACAGGACUCCAGCCCUGGGAGCGUGCUCUCCCCGUGCAGCUGUGGCAGAUGUGCAGCAAGGAUUCCAGGGUUUACGAUUCAGCCGCCCUGGGGAAGUGGAAACUGUUUGCCUCGACCCAAAAGCAUCCAAAUAAUAAACCGCCUCUAAAGCCUUGGCUCCGAAGGUC
rnacentral:lncRNA from 1 species